rnacentral:rRNA from 1 species
GAUGAACGCUGGCGGCACGCCUAACACAUGCAAGUCGAACGGGGUUAAUCUGAAUGAAGUUUUCGGAUGGAAUUCGGAUUAACUUAGUGGCGGACGGGUGAGUAACACGUGAGCAAUCUGCCUUGUGGCGAGGGAUACCGUUUGGAAACGAACGUUAAUACCUCAUAAUAUAACGGAACCGCAUGAUUUUGUUAUCAAAGAUUUAUCGUCACAAGAUGAGCUCGCGUCUGAUUAGAUAGUUGGUGAGGUAACGGCCCACCAAGUCGACGAUCAGUAGCCGGACUGAGAGGUUGAACGGCCACAUUGGGACUGAGACACGGCCCAGACUCCUACGGGAGGCAGCAGUGGGGAAUAUUGCACAAUGGGCGAAAGCCUGAUGCAGCGAUGCCGCGUGAGGGAAGAAGGUUUUCGGAUUGUAAACCUCUGUCUUCAGGGACGAUAAUGACGGUACCUGAGGAGGAAGCUCCGGCUAACUACGUGCCAGCAGCCGCGGUAAUACGUAGGGAGCAAGCGUUAUCCGGAAUUACUGGGUGUAAAGGGAGUGUAGGCGGGAUUGUAAGUCAGAUGUGAAAAUUAUGGGCUCAACUCAUAACCUGCAUUUGAAACUGCGAUUCUUGAGUGAAGUAGAGGUAAGCGGAAUUCCAUGUGUAGCGGUGAAAUGCGUAGAUAUAUGGAGGAACAUCAGUGGCGAAGGCGGCUUACUGGGCUUUUACUGACGCUGAGGCUCGAAAGCGUGGGGAGCAAACAGGAUUAGAUACCCUGGUAGUCCACGCUGUAAACGAUGAUUACUAGGUGUGGGGGGACUGACCCCUUCCGUGCCGGAGUUAACACAAUAAGUAAUCCACCUGGGGAGUACGGUCGCAAGACUG